AUUUUUGCAUUUCACUUGAGAUAAUGAAGCCGUUUCGUCUCAUUGGCCUGUGUCCGGCAGGAACGCUCGAGGCGGGCUGGAUGCGAUCCUAAUGUCGCCACGACUCCUGAGGCCGACUCACACACGCCCUAAUAUCGUCAUGUUCCGCCAGGGAAUCGGCCGCUUCCUCGGCACAAUCUUCGUCCUCGUCCUCCUCCUCGUCGUCCUCAUCCUCCUCCUCGUCGUCCUCAUCCUCCUCCUCGUCGUCCUCACCAUAGUCAUCCUCUUGGUCUCUGCCUCCCGACGCUAAAUUCUUCCAGUAGGAAUCAUAACCGGACGCCCCAUCGUAAUCGUCGUCGUCGUCGUCAGCGCCGGCCUGGCGGCCAAACUUCAACGUGCGAGCUGCAGAAAGCAAAGUCGUGUUAGAAGCGUUGCUCUCAUUUACAUUAUCACAAUUACAGGAUCGUGUCAUAUUUGUCAGGAUAGGGAAAAAAUACAAUUAUACUGACUCCCCGGUUUCACCUUUGUGUUGUUCAGCAGACAUUGGUUUCACUGAAGGUCUCUGAGAACCCUUGGCAUUUGUAAACAACCUUGAUUUCCAGGAAAUGUUAUUAAAGCAAUGUACUGGUUCGAUCAAAUUUCAGUUUUGCUUUUGGUUCUGUUUUUUUUUUUGGUACCUACAUGUUGCUGUACAGCUACAGACAGGACAGCGUGAAUACUGUGCUUGGGGUGUGAGGACUGAUACCAGGUUCACUAGUACUGACAAGAAAGCCACAACACAACUUGAACCACUUUCCCAGACUCAGUCUCUCGCUGUGCAAACACAGAUAACAGUCCAAUAACAGCAGCCACCAGCGUGUCGUCACAGUCAUUAACCUUUAAGCUUAAUGUAUCUGUUGCUGCACUGUGCUGAUCUAGUGGUAUAAAAAAAACAGCAGUGUAAAAGCCAUUGGGUCAUAAAGAAAUUCUCAAGCAAAUGUGAAAAGACAAAAAAGAAUAGCCAUUUGGUCAAACAAAAAGAAAUUCACUAGAAAAUGGGUAAAUGUGCAAGAAAUAAAUAAAAGGGAAUAAAUAUGUGAGAAAAAACGCAUAAGGCUUUUAACAGGAAAUCAAUUCAAUUCAUGUAAUGCACAUGCACAUCUCAUAAAUGUCCCGAUUUUCUUUCUGUUUCACUACCAAAAUCCUGAUUCAGCAGGAAGGUUGAGGGUGGUGAACCUACUUCCACAAUUCAGGCCCCGACCGAAAGAAAAAGCAGCACUUUUGGCUGGUUUGUUUGUGUGGGACUCACUGGACAUGCUGAGGUCUUUAGUCUCCUGGGUCUCGUGGCCGCACUUUGGACAAGGUGGAGAUUUUCCCUUCUCCUGCUUAAAGACCUUACUCCUGGUGUGGUCGUCGCAGUAGCAGGCCUGCAAAAUGUCACGUGGAAAUGUUACAGCACAAACGUGACGGUGAUGCAUAAUUCAAACUGUCUUUUGAAAUACAGAAUGAAAGGUUAUCAGUA